GGGAGGUUUUUGCUGUGGGUAUAAUACUUGUCACUACUGCUCUGUCCUGAAACAUCCCAGACAGAGGGCUCCACUUUCAGUUUCUUGGCACUGCAGAAGGCACUCGAGGAUACUGACGGAGGGGAAAACACCUGCAGCUGUGAGGCCAUACCGCCGGUGGGGGGUUCUCAGCCGCGGGCCGAAGCUGCCUGGGGGACACGCGGGGGUGCGGAGCCCCGCAGCGGGCGCAUCAUAGCCCCGCCGCGGCCGCCGGCCCGGCCCGCUCGGCCCGCGCACGCCGGGGGGAGCCCCCAGGCCGCUUCGCCGCCGCCGCCAGGCUCCGCCGCGCCCUCACGGCACGGCCGGGCUCCCCCAGCUCCGCGCCGCCGCCGACCGCCGCCCGGGCCCGAGCGCCUCCGCCGCGCUCCCGCCGCUCCGGGCCCCUCGGCCGCUGGCGCCAGACUGAGGCAGCCGAGCCCCG
rnacentral:lncRNA from 1 species